rnacentral:rRNA from 1 species
UAAUACAUGCAAGUCGAGCGAACGGACGAGAAGCUUGCUUCUCUGAUGUUAGCGGCGGACGGGUGAGUAACACGUGGAUAACCUACCUAUAAGACUGGGAUAACUUCGGGAAACCGGAGCUAAUACCGGAUAAUAUUUUGAACCGCAUGGUUCAAAAGUGAAAGACGGUCUUGCUGUCACUUAUAGAUGGAUCCGCGCUGCAUUAGCUAGUUGGUAAGGUAACGGCUUACCAAGGCAACGAUGCAUAGCCGACCUGAGAGGGUGAUCGGCCACACUGGAACUGAGACACGGUCCAGACUCCUACGGGAGGCAGCAGUAGGGAAUCUUCCGCAAUGGGCGAAAGCCUGACGGAGCAACGCCGCGUGAGUGAUGAAGGUCUUCGGAUCGUAAAACUCUGUUAUUAGGGAAGAACAUAUGUGUAAGUAACUGUGCACAUCUUGACGGUACCUAAUCAGAAAGCCACGGCUAACUACGUGCCAGCAGCCGCGGUAAUACGUAGGUGGCAAGCGUUAUCCGGAAUUAUUGGGCGUAAAGCGCGCGUAGGCGGUUUUUUAAGUCUGAUGUGAAAGCCCACGGCUCAACCGUGGAGGGUCAUUGGAAACUGGAAAACUUGAGUGCAGAAGAGGAAAGUGGAAUUCCAUGUGUAGCGGUGAAAUGCGCAGAGAUAUGGAGG